rnacentral:rRNA from 1 species
AUUGAACGCUGGCGGCAGGCCUAACACAUGCAAGUCGAGCGGAUGAAGGGAGCUUGCUCCUGGAUUCAGCGGCGGACGGGUGAGUAAUGCCUAGGAAUCUGCCUGGUAGUUGGGGAUAACGUCCGGAAACGGGCGCUAAUACCGCAUACGUCCUUAGGUUGAAAGUGGUGGAUCUUCGGACCUCACCCUAUCAGAUGAGCCUAGGUCGGAUUAGCUAGUUGGGGGGGUAAAGUCCUACCAAGGCGACUAUCCGUAACUGGUCUGAGAGGGUGAUCAGUCACACUGGAACAGAAACACGGGCCAGAAUCCUAAGGGAGGGAGCAGGAGGGGAUCUUUGGAAAUGGGCGGAAGGCGUAAGGAGCAACGCCGCGUGGGUGAAGAAAGUCUUCGGAUUUUAAAACUCUUUUAGUUUGGGAGAAGAAGAGUGAAAUUAACUAUUCACUGUUUGACGGUACCCAAUCAGAAAGCCACGGCUAACUUUGUG